CUCAAACACCAUCUGCUUGGCGUCCUCCUUGCUGAUGGCCUGGACCAACAAAAACUCCGCCUCGGAGGUGGCCGCAUAGCCCAGCCUGCCCAGAAGGGUGUGCAGCGUGUAUUCGGAGAGUACAGGCUGCACCCGGAGUGUGCUCUGCUGGUGUGUGGGACAAACUGCAAGGCCCAGCGUGCUAACACCCCCGGCCAACCCUCGGCCACUCCAGGAGGGUGAGUGCACAGAAGCCCUGGCUUCUUGCCCUCCGCGGCGGCGGGACAGUUCUGAGGUGUGUUCUCCACUCUUGCAGAGGCUCCCCAGCGGUGGCCCAUGGCAAUAACCCGCUUUCAUGGUUCUCGUCCCUCCCUUGUCUUCAUUCCCUACUCCUCUUGUGCUUCCUGCAGUCACCUCCCAAAGAAACCGCACACAAAUCCUUGGACUGCUUUUGGAGUAACAGAGCCCAGCAGUUACUUCUGUACCCUUGACCUGCGUGCCCUUGACCCUUCCUCCGUGCACUCACCAUCUCCCUCCCUCCCCGCCUUCUGCCCUCCAUUUUGUUUUUGUUUUUGUUCUCCUUUUACAGUUCACUGGUUUAUUCUCAGAAUUGAGAUUCGAAUUAUGCCCUGUGGCCCGGAGGGGUGAGGAUCAUGCUAGAAUCUCACCAUAUCCCAGCCUUCCCUCAGAAGGAAGUAGAUUAAAAUGACAACAGAGGAGAUAUUUCCUUUUCAUACAGACCCAGGCCGUGACACACAGAGAGGAAUUUGUUUCCAUCAUCAUUGAACUGAAUGCUCUUGCCAGUUGUCCGCUGCACAAGGCACUCCCCACCCACCCCCAGGGUUUGCCACCCAGAGAAGAACCAGCCCAUUGCUCCCGUGGGAGAAUGAAGGUGACACGGUGGGCAGCGGAGCCAAGAGAGGCGAUACAGCUGCCUAUGUUCUUGGACCUCCUGGAUCCAGCCAAGCCUGAAGUCAAAAUUAUCACUUGGACUAUUUAGUUACAUGAGUCAAUAAAUGUCCUUUCUU